rnacentral:rRNA from 1 species
AGACCCGAAACCCGGUGAUCUAGCCAUGGGCAGGUUGAAGGUUGGGUAACACUAACUGGAGGACCGAACCGACUAAUGUUGAAAAAUUAGCGGAUGACCUGUGGCUGGGGGUGAAAGGCCAAUCAAACCGGGAGAUAGCUGGUUCUCCCCGAAAGCUAUUUAGGUAGCGCCUCGUGAACUCAUCUCCGGGGGUAGAGCACUGUUUCGGCUAGGGGGCCAUCCCGGCUUACCAACCCGAUGCAAACUGCGAAUACCGGAGAAUGUUAUCACGGGAGACACACGGCGGGUGCUAACGUCCGUCGUGAAGAGGGAAACAACCCAGACCGCCAGCUAAGGUCCCAAAGUCAUGGUUAAGUGGGAAACGAUGUGGGAAGGCCCAGACAGCCAGGAUGUUGGCUUAGAAGCAGCCAUCAUUUAAAGAAAGCGUAAUAGCUCACUGGUCGAGUCGGCCUGCGCGGAAGAUGUAACGGGGCUAAACCAUGCACCGAAGCUGCGGCAGCGAACGUAUCACUUAAAGCGAUUCAGCGGGUUACGAUUGACGGAGCGAAGCGACGUCAAAGCGUAUACAAAGUCGAGUCGGUUUAAGGAUACGUUCGUUGGGUAGGGGAGCGUUCUGUAAGCCUGCGAAGGUGGCCUGUGAGGGUUGCUGGAGGUAUCAGAAGUGCGAAUGCUGACAUAAGUAACGAUAAAGCGGGUGAAAAGCCCGCUCGCCGGAAGACCAAGGGUUCCUGUCCAACGUUAAUCGGGGCAGGGUGAGUCGACCCCUAAGGCGAGGCCGAAAGGCGUAGUCGAUGGGAAACGGGUUAAUAUUCCCGUACUUGGUGUUACUGCGAAGGGGGGACGGAGAAGGCUAUGUUGGCCGGGCGACGGUUGUCCCGGUUUAAGCGUGUAGGUGUGUGUUCCAGGUAAAUCCGGUUCACUUUAACACUGAGGCGUGACGACGAGGCACUACGGUGCUGAAGCAACAAAUGCCCUGCUUCCAGGAAAAGCCUCUAAGCAUCAGGUAACAUCAAAUCGUACCCCAAACCGACACAGGUGGUCAGGUAGAGAAUACCAAGGCGCUUGAGAGAACUCGGGUGAAGGAACUAGGCAAAAUGGUGCCGUAACUUCGGGAGAAGGCACGCUGACACGUAGGUGAAGUGAUUUACUCAUGGAGCUGAAGUCAGUCGAAGAUACCAGCUGGCUGCAACUGUUUAUUAAAAACACAGCACUGUGCAAACACGAAAGUGGACGUAUACGGUGUGACGCCUGCCCGGUGCCGGAAGGUUAAUUGAUGGGGUCAGCGCAAGCGAAGCUCCUGAUCGAAGCCCCGGUAAACGGCGGCCGUAACUAUAACGGUCCUAAGGUAGCGAAAUUCCUUGUCGGGUAAGUUCCGACCUGCACGAAUGGCGUAAUGAUGGCCAGGCUGUCUCCACCCGAGACUCAGUGAAAUUGAACUCGCUGUGAAGAUGCAGUGUACCCGCGGCAAGACGGAAAGACCCCGUGAACCUUUACUAUAGCUUGACACUGAACAUUGAGCCUUGAUGUGUAGGAUAGGUGGGAGGCUUUGAAGUGUGGACGCCAGUCUGCAUGGAGCCGACCUUGAAAUACCACCCUUUAAUGUUUGAUGUUCUAACGUGGACCCGUGAUCCGGGUUGCGGACAGUGUCUGGUGGGUAGUUUGACUGGGGCGGUCUCCUCCUAAAGAGUAACGGAGGAGCACGAAGGUUGGCUAAUCCUGGUCGGACAUCAGGAGGUUAGUGCAAUGGCAUAAGCCAGCUUGACUGCGAGCGUGACGGCGCGAGCAGGUGCGAAAGCAGGUCAUAGUGAUCCGGUGGUUCUGAAUGGAAGGGCCAUCGCUCAACGGAUAAAAGGUACUCCGGGGAUAACAGGCUGAUACCGCCCAAGAGUUCAUAUCGACGGCGGUGUUUGGCACCUCGAUGUCGGCUCAUCACAUCCUGGGGCUGAAGUAGGUCCCAAGGGUAUGGCUGUUCGCCAUUUAAAGUGGUACGCGAGCUGGGUUUAGAACGUCGUGAGACAGUUCGGUCCCUAUCUGCCGUGGGCGCUGGAGAACUGAGGGGGGCUGCUCCUAGUACGAGAGGACCGGAGUGGACGCAUCACUGGUGUUCGGGUUGUCAUGCCAAUGGCACUGCCCGGUAGCUAAAUGCGGAAGAGAUAAGUGCUGAAAGCAUCUAAGCACGAAACUUGCCCCGAG